CUAGAUUAAGGGGUUACAAGUUGCAACAUGAUCCUAGAACAUGAGCCAGUGCUGACCUAGAAUAUGAGCCCGUGCAUCCUGCCCUUUACAAGAAAAGGCUUGCCCUUGUCGUUCAGACACUUGAAGCUCAAACCUCUCCCCAUGAGGUACAGAGAUGUACAACCCUAGCACAUCUCCUUUUCCGUACACAUCAUCGCCAUACUUGCCCCUUGAAGAGACAUGUGCACCUUGGCACCAUAUCGAUGUCGUGGUACCCAUAUCCAUAGGCGCCACCACAGCCGAUGGGCAGGCAAGGUCGAGGUCCGCCAUGUUGCCCACCCGAGACGGGUGUGGCCGGUGGAUCCGAGCUGCAGGACCUUGACCUCGAAGUACAAGUACCACACCUUGGCCGCGACGCUGUGUGUGGAGCGCACCAUGCGGUAGCUUGGAGCUGGUGAUGGCCAGCCAAGCGGUCGACGGAGAGCAUGAUCCUCUCGGACUUGAAGACGUGGGAGAGGAGCAUGGGCUGCCCCGACACGCACUCAUCGGCGCCGGGCCAGGGCUAGCAGGCGGCUGGCUGUGGCGUUGCUUUCUUCUUGCGGGAGGUGGGCCUGGUCCAGAUGCUGUUCUCGUCCUUCGACUUGGAUUUGGACUUCUUCUUGGGCACCGACACCGUCUUGCGGGAGAUUCUUGCACUUCUUCAAGUCCUUGGCCCUUUGAAGCACAGUUUUUCCAUCAUCUGACACUCUUCUCGGUCUUGGCA
rnacentral:misc_RNA from 1 species